UACGUAGGUGGCAAGCGUUGUCCGGAUUUACUGGGUGUAAAGGGCGUGCAGCCGGGCUGACAAGUCAGAUGUGAAAUCCCGCGGCUCAACCGCGGAACUGCAUUUGAAACUGUCAGUCUUGAGUACCGGAGAGGUCAUCGGAAUUCCUUGUGUAGCGGUGAAAUGCUUAGAUAUCACGAAGAACUCCGAUUGCGAAGGCAGCUCACUGGACUGCAACUGACACUGAGGCUCGAAAGUGUGGGUAUCAAACAGG
rnacentral:rRNA from 1 species